GAUGAACGCUGACAGAAUGCUUAACACAUGCAAGUCGAUGGGGAAGUGGUGCUGGCACCAUCGUAACCAUUGCGGACGGGUGAGUAACUCGUAAGUAACUUGCCUGCCUGACUGGGAUAACAGCAUGAAACUGCUGAUAAUACCGGAUAAGGUCAUUAAUCUACAUCGCUUAGUGAUGAAAGGAGACGCCUUCGGAGAGGCUUGCGUCCUAUUAGCUAGUUGGAGGGGUAACGGCCCACCAAGGGGAAGAUAGGUAGCCGGCCUGAGAGGCUGGACGGCCAAAAGGGGAAUGAGAUACGGCCGUUACUCCUACGGGAGGAAGCAGUGGGGAAUAUUGGACCAUGGGGGCAACACUGAUCAAGCAAUUCUGUGUGCACGAAGACGGUUUUCGGAUUGUAAAGUGCUUUCAGCAGGGAAGAAGGACGUGACGGUACCUGAAGAAGAAGCGACGGCUAAAUACGUG
rnacentral:rRNA from 1 species